ensembl:lncRNA
CAUCAUAAUGGAUGGGUUUGUCCUUUAUGUGUUUGAAUUUCCAGAUACUUCUUUGUUCAUUUGUAAGCAUGAAAAUGAUUUUCUUGCCAAAUAUGGAUGUUUGGUGUUACUCAAUAUUUUUCUUCUAUUCAAGAAUAAUCAAGAGUAGUAUUGACAAACAUGGUUGUUCACUAGGUUCUGAUUACAUUGUUGCUACAACAAUUAUUUUUGGCCCCAUUUACAGAUGAGGAAAAUGCAACUCAGCAAUGCACUGCUCCAAGGUUAAGAUGGCUUGAAGAACUCAUUUCAGCAUUUAUUGUAAGGCAGAUCUAAUGGUGAUGAACUCCCUCGGCUUUUGUUUGUCUGGGCAGUGCUGAAGCUGAAAUUUGUGGUCUUUCCCUGGAUCACACAUGUGAGCCAGCUUUCUGUGCAUGCUCACUAUCCAUUUGCCAAAGCUCGCUCUCACCGCCUUUGGAAGCACACACAGGGAGCUGGCCACAGGGCGAGCUGGCCACAGAGUGGAGGAUUGUGUAGGUGAGUGUGCUGGAACUUCUGCUGGACUCCUGGACUUCCACAAAGGCUCUGUCUUUGUGGAUGAUGGUCUAAGACAAUGUUCUCCAAGAGCUCCUAGAGCAUGGCUGAGAGGUGCUGGAACCGGUCCAGGGGCCACUGCAGGGUCCAAAGCCAGGACUCAGGUCUGUAUGCCUAUUACCCAAUGCACAGGUGAGCAAGCAUUCUCUCUGGUCCUUGGUGUUUGGUGCUGGGUUAAAUAGCUCCCACAAAGGUAUUUUUGUCCGUAGAUGGAUGCCAAAUUGUUGUUGUUAAGGGAGGUAUGGGCAAAGGACAUCUUAUUCAGCCAUCAUUUCAUUGUCUAUGGAUAUCCAAUUACUCCAGCACCAUUUAUUGUAAAGGCCAUGCUUCCUCCAUUGAAUUACUAUUGUACCUUUUUCAAAAAUCAGUUGGACAUACUGCAUGGGUCUAUUUCUGGAUUGUCCAUUCUGUUCCAAUGAUAUGUGUGUCCAUCCCUCCACUAAUACCACACUGUCUUGAUUGCUGUAGCUAUACGAUAACAAUUGAUUUCUAGUGAAAUGAUUCCAAAACUUUAUUCUUCCUUUUCAAGGUUGUUUUAGCUAUUCUUUGGUCUGUGCCUUUUUUUUUCCUGAGGAAGAUUAGCCCUGAACUAACAUUUGUGCCAAUCUUCCUCCACUUUAUAUGUGGGUCACCGCCACAGCAUGAGUGGUAUGGGUCCAUACCCUGGAUCCCCAGGCCACCGAAGCAGAGCACGCUGAACUUAACCACUAUGGCACUGGGCUGGCCCUGUGCCUUUUCAUAUAAAUUUUAAAAUAAGCUAUCUAUGUCUACAAAAAUCUAUCCUGGGAUUUUCACAAGAGUUACAUUAAACUUACCUGUCAUUUUGGAGAAAAUUGAAAUCAUUAUUAUGUUGAGUCUUCUAACUCGUGGUAUGUCUCCACUUGUUUAGAUCUUCUUUGAUUUAUU